rnacentral:rRNA from 1 species
AUACGAAGGGUGCAAGCGUUACUCGGAAUUACUGGGCGUAAAGCGUGCGUAGGUGGUUGUUUAAGUCUGUCGUGAAAGCCCUGGGCUCAACCUGGGAAUGGCGAUGGAAACUGGGCGACUAGAGUGUGGCAGAGGGGAGUGGAAUUCCUGGUGUAGCAGUGAAAUGCGUAGAGAUCAGGAGGAACAUCCGUGGCGAAGGCGACUGCCUGGGCCAACACUGACACUGAGGCACGAAAGCGUGGGGAGCAAACAGGAUUAGAUACCCUGGUAGUCCACGCCCUAAACGAUGCGAACUGGAUGUUGGGUGCAAUUUGGCACGCAGUAUCGAAGCUAACGCGUUAAGUUCGCCGCCUGGGGAGUACGGUCGCAAGACUGAAACUCAAAUGAAUUGACGGGG